rnacentral:tRNA from 25 species
GCACCCGUAGCUCAGCUGGAUAGAGUACUGCCCUCCGAAGGCAGGGGUCAGAGGUUCGAAUCCUCUCGGGUGCGCCA